GAAUGGGUGAGUUUGUGAACGAGUGGGCAAGUUAGUGUGUGAGUGGGCGAGUUAGUGUGUGAAGCAGUGGGCAAGUUUGUGAAUGAGUGGGUGAGUUACUGUGUGAAUGAGUGGGCAUGUGAAUGAGUCGAUGAGUUAGUGUGUGAAUGGGUGUGUGAACGAGUGGCUGAGUUAGUGUGUGAAUGGGUUAGUGUGUGAAUGAGGGAUUUUGUGAAUGGGUGUGUGAACGAGUGGGUGAGUUAGUGUGUGAAUGAGUGGGUGUGUGAAUGAGUGGGUGAGUUGGUGUGUGAAAGAGUGGGUUAGUGCAUGAAUGGGUGGGUUAGUGUGUGAAUGGGUUGUGAACGAGUGGGUGAGUUAGUGUGUGAAUGAGUGGGUGACUGUGUGAAUGAAUGGGUUAGUGUGUGAAUGAGUGGGUGAGUUAGUGUGUGAACGAGUGGGCGAGUUUGUGAAUGAGUGGGGGAGUUAGUGUGUGAAUGAGUGGGUGAGUUAGUGUGUGAAUGGGUGUGUGAAUGAGUGGGCUAGUGUGUGAAUGAGUGGGUGUGUGAACGAGUGGGUGAGUUAGUGUGUGAAUGAAUGGGUUAGUGUGUGAAUGGGUUAGUGUGAGUGAGUCAGUGGGUUAGUGUAUGAAUGAAUGAGUGGGUGGGUUAGUGUGUGAGUGGGUUAGUGUGAAAGAGUGGGCGAGUUAGUGUGUCAAUGAGUGGGCGAGUUUGAAUGUGUGUGAACAAGUGGGUGAGUUAGUGUGUGAAUGAGUGGGUUAGUGUGUGAAUGAGUGGGUGUGUGAACGAGUGGGUGAGUUACUGUGAAUGAAUGGGUGGGUUAGUGUGUAAAUGAAUGGGUGAGUUAGUGUGUGAGUGGGUUAGUGUGUGAAUGAGUCAGUGGGUUAGUGUGUGAAUGGGGGUUAGUGUGUGAAUGGAUGAGUUAGUGUGUGAAUGAGUGGGUUAGUGUGUGAAUGAGUCGGUGGGUUAGUGUGUGAAUGAGUGGGUUAGUGUGUGAGAGUGUGUGAGUGGGCGAGUUAGUGUGUGAAUGAGUGGGUUAGUGUGUGAAUGGGUGUGUGAGUGGGUUAGUGUGUGUAUGGGUGUGUGAACGAGUGGGUUAGUGUGUGAAUGAAUGGGUUAGUGUGUGAAUGAGUCAGUGGGUUAGUGUAUGAAUGUGUGUGAGUGGGUGGGUUAGUGUGUGAAUGAGUGGGUGAGUUAGUGUGUCAAUGAGUGGGUGAGUUUGUGAAUGAGUGUGUGUGAACAACUGGGUGAGUGUGUGAAUGAGUGGGUGAGUGUGUGAAUGAGUGGGUUAGUGUGUGAAUGAGUGGGUUUGUGAAUGAGCCGGUGGGUUAGUGUGUGAAUGAGUUAGUGUGUGAAUGAGUGGGUGGGUUAGUGUGUGAAUGAGUUAAUGUGUGAAUGAGUGGGUGAGUUACUUUGUGAACGAGUGGGCGAGUUAGUGUGUGAAUGGGUUAGUGUGUGAAUGAGUGGGUGUGUGAAGGAGUGGGUGAGUUACUAUGUGAAUGAAUGGGUGAGUUAGCGUGUGAAUGGGUGGGUUAGUUUGUGAAUGAAUGGGUGAGUUAGUGUGUGAGUUGGUUAGUGUGUGAAUGAGUCGGUGGGUUAGUGUGUGAAUGAGUUCGUGUGUGAAUGG
rnacentral:lncRNA from 1 species